UACGGAGGGAGCUAGCGUUAUUCGGAAUUACUGGGCGUAAAGCGCACGUAGGCGGCUUUGUAAGUAAGAGGUGAAAGCCCAGAGCUCAACUUUGGAAUUGCCUUUUAGACUGCAUCGCUUGAAUCAUGGAGAGGUCAGUGGAAUUCCGAGUGUAGAGGUGAAAUUCGUAGAUAUUCGGAAGAACACCAGUGGCGAAGGCGGCUGACUGGACAUGUAUUGACGCUGAGGUGCGAAAGCGUGGGGAGCAAACAGG
rnacentral:rRNA from 1 species